rnacentral:lncRNA from 1 species
UUCUUAGAACUUUAACCUCUCGAUCUAAAAUUUGUAUGGGUUCUUCCUCAAAGGUCAAAUCAGUCCUUACUUCAAUCUCCUCCACUGGCACAACAUGUGAGGGAUCCGAUCGAUAUCGUCUUAACAUAGACACAUGAAAAACGUCAUGGAUUCUGUCUAACUCUGGUGGUAAUUCUAACUGAUACGCUACUGGCCCUACCCGCUUAAGAACUCGAUAAGGCCCUAUAAA